AAGAGCUGACAUGUAAACUCUUAAUUUUGUGAGCUAUAGGAAAUCUGUUUUUGACUUCAUGGCUCACUCUCAGCACUAACCCUGUUAGUGGUGCAAUAACUUGCAGUUCAGCUGCACGUAAUCUAUUUACAAACAGCAGCUUUGUGCUCCUUUAUUUGUAUGUCCCUUUAAUUUCUCCCUCCAUGCUGUGUCUCCUGCUGAUGCACCAUACCAUGAGGAUUAAUAACCUCCAACAGUUUGUUAGCCAGGGAUUCACAGCCACGGUGGCGCGAGGAGCUGGUGUGGUGUAACUGUAUAUUGCCUGUCAUGCCAAACUGGGCUUGAGGCCCAGAAAGCGUGUCUCUGUCCUCUGAGUUCAAAGCUCUUACUCAUCACAGGAGUUAGUGAUUUGCUUAAAUCCCAAUGAAAAGGUUUAAAUGAUCAGUAAUGGCAACUCCAGGCUGUGGUAAUUAUCAUGUAGGUAAAGUGACGGCAGAUGGGUUGGAGAGGCUGCCUGGGCACAGAAGAACAGUCUUCUCUGUACCUAGGUGGAAGGAGAGCUGGUCCUGGGUUCCUCAGAGAGUUCCAGGAGGUUCCAGAACCUUUCCUGGAUCCUCCACCUCAGGGUGCCCCCCCUCCCCUCAGGGAGCAGCUGCCAGAGGAACCCGCAGGCAGGGUGCAGCCUGUGGGGGUCACCACAUGCACCCCACCACGUGAACCCAGGGUGCAUGGGUGGAGCUGCUCCAGGGCAGGGCCUGGGGCGGCCUUUCCCCAGGAAGACUCUAGCCAGAGGUGGAAGACAGAAAGGCCACAAUAAACAUUGGGCCCAUAUGCUUAGAAGAAGAAAUCAGUUCAUGACAUUUAAAAAAAAAAAAAAAAAAAAAGGAUUUGACAGGUAAAUGACUAAAUAUAUUCCUUUAGUGAUCCAACAUUUCUUCUUAAUGAGGCAAGUUGUCAUUGACUUUGCUUGUUGUCUAUGAAUUCUGAGUGACUCAAUCUUCAUAAUGUCAGACUGGUCAAAGACAUCAGUAAAUUGCAUGAAUAAUACAUGAUACUUGGUAAUUGUCCUUAGCUGGUAACAUAUUGUAAUUUCAUUUGUUCAAUAGCAUUUGUCUAAAAUAGCGUUUCCUGAAUUGGCUAUUACUUCUGCUUUCCUGAAGUGGAUAAUGUAACCUAUGCGAACGGUAUAUUUACCUCAGUUUUAUGCCUUAUGAAGCUACUAAGGCAUUGUAGCUAAAGGUAUACAUGGUGAACGUCAAGCAGUGACAUCGAUUGUUUGCAUGUAUGUAGCUAGCCUAGGUCUUUUGUCAACGUAAUGCUAACCCCUACCUCUAACAAAAGUAUGGUGUCUUUCCCAAAUAUGACAUAGAAACUGGAUUCUACCAUUAAUAUGUCACCUUUGCUAUUGUGGCAGAGGGAACUUGGCUUGGGAGCUGAGUAGUAGUAGUUCAAAUCAACAUGUUCCUUUUCAAGAAAGCAAAUUGAGAAUGUUUCUGUAUCUAUGGAGACCUCAAAACAUGUUUAUUGUGCAUCUGGCAAAUAAUCUGAAGAGUUUGCUCUAACAAGGUUUACUGCAUUAGGGUUGACUCUUGGCUUCAUCUGUUAUCACUGAAUCACCUUUUCUUUGCUUGCAAAUCACAUCUCCUAGUCUUCUCUACUCAUAGAAAAGACAGAAAUGAAAGACCAAGGAAUCUGCUGGCAGUGCCUUCUGGCUUUAGGGAUGUGUCUGGAAUCAUGUAUGUGUCAU
rnacentral:lncRNA from 1 species